GCGGGCCCGCCGUUUCGACGGCCGCCGGGGAGGCCUUGCGCCCCCGGGCCCGCGCCCGCCGAAGACCCCAACAUGAACGCUGUUCUGAAAGUAUGCAGUCUGAGUUGAUUAUCGUAAUCAGUUAAAACUUUCAACAACGGAUCUCUUGGUUCCGGCAUCGAUGAAGAACGCAGCGAAAUGCGAUAAGUAAUGUGAAUUGCAGAAUUCAGUGAAUCAUCGAGUCUUUGAACGCACAUUGCGCCCCCUGGUAUUCCGGGGGGCAUGCCUGUCCGAGCGUCAUUGCUGCCCUCAAGCACGGCUUGUGUGUUGGGCCCCCGUCCCCCUCUCCCGGGGGACGGGCCCGAAAGGCAGCGGCGGCACCGCGUCCGGUCCUCGAGCGUAUGGGGCUUUGUCACCUGCUCUGUAGGCCCGGCCGGCGCCAGCCGACACCCAACUUUAUUUUUCUAAGGUUGACCUCGGAUCAGGUAGGGAUACCCGCUGAACUUAAGC
rnacentral:rRNA from 1 species